rnacentral:rRNA from 1 species
GACGAACGCUGGCGGCGUGCUUAACACAUGCAAGUCGAACGGAAAGGCCCUGCUUUUGUGGGGUGCUCGAGUGGCGAACGGGUGAGUAACACGUGAGUAACCUGCCCUUGACUUUGGGAUAACUUCAGGAAACUGGGGCUAAUACCGGAUAGGAGCUCCUGCUGCAUGGUGGGGGUUGGAAAGUUUCGGCGGGUGGGGAUGGACUCGCGGCUUAUCAGCUUGUUGGUGGGGUAGUGGCUUACCAAGGCUUUGACGGGUAGCCGGCCUGAGAGGGUGACCGGCCACAUUGGGACUGAGAGACGGCCCAGACUCCUACGGGAGGCAGCAGGGGGGAAUAUUGCACAAUGGGCGGAAGCCUGAUGCAGCAACGCCGCGUGCGGGAUGACGGCCUUCGGGUUGUAAACCGCUUUCGCCUGUGACGAAGCGUGAGUGACGGUAAUGGGUAAAGAAGCACCGGCUAACUACGUG